rnacentral:lncRNA from 1 species
CAGGUAUGGGCAGAAGAGUCAUUUGUACAAUAAAUGCCCUCGCACAUAAGGCUUCCUGCAUGUGCAUGGUGUUCUUGGAUGGAGGCUCUGCCUGCUGCAGCAGAAAGCAGCCAUUUCUUUGGAAAAGGGUGAUCUGGACAAAUGUACACCUGAUUAGUUGAUCCAGAAAAUUCUGCUUGCUCAUCACCAGCAAUGUUUACUUACCCUGCUCUCCAAACAAAACAGAACUUACUUUCAGCUUUUCAGACGCUAGACCUUUCCACUCAAACACUGGAGAAAACAGAACUGGCUGCAUGUUAUUCUGCAGGUUAGCCAUUUCAAGGCGAAAGGAAAAGGAGCUUUGGAGUUCAUCUCUAUUUGUGGAAAUUAACUCUCCAGAGGAGUUUUUGCAUAGAAAAUGAGAGGUUCCUCAUGAAACACCUCAGAGUCCUCCACUUCCAUGGUCUCCCACAAGCAAAGGUGCAGUCUUUAAGAAGCCAUUUCCAGAUUUGGUGUGAGUUUAACAGUGCAAGACAACACCC